GACCUUCUUCCUCCGCCCAGCCACCACAGUGAUUUGUCGUCAAGUCUGCCACAGGAGGAUAUUUUGUUCUGGGUUAACCUGCUUUUCUACCUCGCAGGUUGUUUAUCAAUAUUGUGUAAUUUUAAUUACUCCUAGAAUUUCCGCAUGUGUUAGCAGUAUUUAUUUGAAUUUGGUCUGUAAUAUUUUUAUCAUGUUGGACCUGUAAACUUAAAUAUGUUAUGCAUGUUGAUGGAUUGGAUGAGGGAGCUGAGCUCCCAUUUAUUUUAUGUUGAUGAGUAUGUGGAGGGUGAGCUGAGCUCCCCAAUUGAGUA